UUCACAGGAAAGGUGGGAGAAGGAGACAGAUACACUUUGUUUUACAUCUAAGCAGCUGUUCAGUGGGAUGGAGAGGGGGAAUACUGCCUGAUCCUUCCAGGAGAUGUCUGAAACACUGAAGCAUAGGAAUUGGUAAUGGUUUGUAACCUGACAUUUCUUCUUUCUGUGGUUUUGGACCUAAUUCCAAGCUGAUUGUUUGGACAAUGCAGCGAAACCUCUCAGCCUCUCCUGCUGUGAACACCUGGCCUUCUGCCACGAGUCCGUGAUCAAUAAGAACCAGAGACCAGAAGCUUCAAACCAACCAAACUGAGAAGUGGGCAAUAAACUUUCCUGAAGCACAGGGGGACUUUGUUUCUCCAGACUCGCUCCUCCUGCACACAAAGGGAAUGCAUCGCUGCUGCUGCCAAGUUCUGAGAAAACCUCAG
ensembl:lncRNA